AUUGAACGCUGGCGGAAUGCUUUACACAUGCAAGUCGAACGGCAGCACGGGUGCUUGCACCUGGUGGCGAGUGGCGAACGGGUGAGUAAUAUAUCGGAACGUAUCCAAUAAUGGGGGAUAACUAGCCGAAAGGUUAGCUAAUACCGCAUACGCCCUGAGGGGGAAAGCUGGGGAUCGUAAGACCUAGCGUUGAUGGAGCGGCCGAUAUCUGAUUAGCUAGUUGGUGGGGUAAGAGCCUACCAAGGCGACGAUCAGUAGAUGGUAUGAGAGGACGACCAGCAAAACUGGAGCUUAGACACGGUCCAGAAUCCUACGGGAGGCAGCAGUGGGGAAUUUUGGACAAUGGGGGCAACCCUGAUCCAGCCAUUCCGCGUGAGUGAAGAAGGCCUUCGGGUUGUAAAGCUCUUUCGCAAGGGAAGAAAACUCGAUCUCUAAUAUAGGUUGAGGCUGACGGUACCUUGAUAAGAAGCACCGGCUAACUACGUGCCAGCAGCCGCGGUAA
rnacentral:rRNA from 1 species